GCGCCCAUAGCUUAAUUGGAUAGAGCAUUUGACUACGAAUCAAAAGGUUAGAGGUUCAAUUCCUCUUGGGCGCG
rnacentral:tRNA from 1 species